rnacentral:piRNA from 1 species
UAUGGGAAACAAAGGGAUGGGCUAAAAUAU